GGACUACUGGGGUAUCUAAUCCCGUUUGCUCCCCUGGCUUUCGCGCCUCAGCGUCAGAAGAGGUCCAGCGGGUCGCUUUCGCCACCGGCGUUCCUUCCGAUAUCUACGCAUUUCACCGCUCCACCGGAAGUUCCACCCGCCCCUACCUCACUCGAGGCGACCAGUAUCCAAGGCUAUUCUCCAGUUAAGCUGGAGGAUUUCACCCCGGACUUGGUCACCCGCCUACGCGCCCUUUAAGCCCAGUGAAUCCGAACAACGUUCGCACGGUUCGUCUUACCGCGGCUGCUGGCAC
rnacentral:rRNA from 1 species